AGCAGCCGCGGUAAUUCCAGCUCCAAUAGCGUAUAUUAAAGUUGUUGCAGUUAAAAAGCUCGUAGUUGAAUUUCGGGAUCAAUACGUCGGUCGUGCUUCGGUACGUACUGGCGUCAUUGAUUUCUCCCUUCUGACGAACCAUGAUGUCAUUAACUUGGUGUCAUGGGAAAUCAGGACUGUUACUUUAGAAAAAAUUAGAGUGUUUAAAGCAGGCUCACGCUUAGAAUACAUUAGCAUGGAAUAAUGAAAUAGGACGUUCGAUCCUAUUUUGUUGGUUUUAGGAUCAACGUAAUGAUUAAUAGGGAUAGUUGGGGGCAUUAGUAUUCAAUUGUCAGAGGUGAAAUUCUUGGAUUUAUUGAAGACUAACUACUGCGAAAGCAUUUGCCAAGGAUGUUUUCUAUUAAUCAAGAACGAAAGUUAGGGGAUCGAAGACGAUCAGAUACCGUCGUA
rnacentral:rRNA from 1 species